UUUUCUCCUCAUCCUUAUGACUCUCCGUGUGUGCCUCCAAGUUCUUCAAGUUCAUUCCAAAGUCUCUUCAUGUUCAAUUCCAUACCAAGCCUCCAUCAUGCUGAAAUACAAUGCCAAACCUUAUUAGGCCAUGCCAAGCCUCAAACUAAGCUUGCAACAGCCCUUAUAAAACCUAAAUCAAACCAGCAUCAUUAAACCAACCAUACAUCAUAACUAUCAAGAAUAUACCAACACUAGAAAUGUAUAUUCAUUCAAAUAC
rnacentral:lncRNA from 1 species